rnacentral:tRNA from 1 species
AGUUGGCAGAGUUGGUUGAAUGCACCGGUCUUGAAAACCGGCAAGGAUGCAAGUCCUUCUGGGGUUCGAAUCCCUAACUCUCCGCAA